UACCAGCACCCCGAGUGGUCGGGACGUUUAUUGGGCCUAAAGCAUCCGUAGCCGGUUCUACAAGUCUUCCGUUAAAUCCACCUGCUUAACAGAUGGGCUGCGGAAGAUACUAUGGAGCUAGGAGGCGGGAGAGGCAAGCGGUACUCGAUGGGUAGGGGUAAAAUCCUUUGAUCCAUUGAAGACCACCAGUGGCGAAGGCGGCUUGCCAGAACGCGCUCGACGGUGAGGGAUGAAAGCUGGGGGAGCAAACCGG
rnacentral:rRNA from 1 species